rnacentral:misc_RNA from 1 species
CCGAGUUAUCCAACUCCCAACCCCUGUGAAUUAUACCUUUAAUUGUUUGCUUCGGCGGGACUUCGCGCCCGCCGGGGACCCAAAACCUUCUGAAUUUUUUUAAUAAGUAUCUUCUGAGUGGUUAAAAAAAAUGAAUCAA